GCUCCCAGAGGUAUGCAAAGGAGAUGACUCAACACCGCUCCGAUCAUGAUCCUACAAGCACCUUGGGGGGUUGGUCUUGAUGGUGUUACCUGAAGCAGUGCAAAUACGACUCCUCAGACAGUGACCCGCUUACCUUGCUUCAAGGAGAGGAAGGAAUCAGACAAGGAUCAGAAUCUGCCAGCUGAAGGACCAGUGACAGGGUCUAUGCAAAAGGAGGAAUAAUGAAGAAGCAUGGCCACCAACUUUUGCUAGUCAAUACACUUCUGGUAGAGCCAGGCUUUGAGCACAACUUUUGGAUCACAGUUGUUUUCAUGGGGUUUUCAGACUCUCAAACUGCACCAGGACCCUGCAUAUUUUGUGGGCAAAACUGUACUUUUCUUACCCUGCCUGGAUUUCGAUGUUAAGGUCAAUUUUUAAAAGCAUGCAAAAACUCCCAGCCAACCUAUCUAAAGGUAAUUUAAUCUGCUUAUAUGACCCUAUGUGUAGAAAUACUUUUUUUUAAGGAGAGUGGUAGUGUCCAACCAGAACCACCAGUUUCAAACAACCUUAAGUAUCUCAGGAAAGCCCUCAAAAUUCUAUCUCUGUUGUGGAAUAGAAGUUACCUUCAGCUCAGGGCUUGUAUCUUGGCACACUCUUGGGUUUGCCUUUGAGCCCAGUUGAUGUCUGAAGAGACUCACCCAAGACUGCACAUUGGGGGUUCUACAGGUACAACAAGCUCAGAGGAGGGCAAACAGGUUUGCCAGGUUAGCAAGUGGAUUAACAGAGCUGUUCAUUCUAGGCCUGAGCACCAGGUGCAACAAAAUGAGGACUCUUGGCCUACAGAAUGUUGUUAUUGCCAGUAAUGAUAAUCCAUUAUACAGGCCUGAGGACAAGCCAAAUCCUGCUCACCCUCAUUCUGUGAUGAGAAACAAUACUGACAGCUGAGAAAAAAAGCAUGGUAUGUGCUGCUUUCUUAAUGGGAACAUCAUUUGGCUGAAUGACAUUCAGCUGCUCCUGAAGGAUUUGGGAAGCAAUGCUGUGAAUGUGCUGACUGCCAGGAAGGGUGGAAAAAGGAAGCUCCUUCUGAAAAGUGGGCUUCUCUUCAGCACCUUCUUUAAACGGCUGACUCACAUUUCAUUUGGUUUUU